GACGAACGCUGGCGGCGUGCUUAACACAUGCAAGUCGUACGGUAAGGCCCUUUCGGGGGUACACGAGUGGCGAACGGGUGAGUAACACGUGAGUAACCUGCCCACAACUUUGGGAUAACGCUAGGAAACUGGUGCUAAUACUGGAUAUGUGCCCCUGCUGCAUGGUGGGGGUUGGAAAGCUCCGGCGGUUGUGGAUGGACUCGCGGCCUAUCAGCUUGUUGGUGGGGUAGUGGCCUACCAAGGCGGCGACGGGUAGCCGGCCUGAGAGGGUGACCGGCCACAUUGGGACUGGGAUACGGCCCAGACUCCUACGGGAGGCAGCAGUGGGGAAUAUUGCACAAUGGGCGCAAGCCUGAUGCAGCAACGCCGCGUGCGGGAUGACGGCCUUCGGGUUGUAAACCGCUUUCAGCAGGGACGAAGCUUUUUGUGACGGUACCUGCAGAAGAAGCACCGGCUAACUACGUG
rnacentral:rRNA from 1 species